GUAAUUUUGAGUACGACCAAUAAAAAAAUUCCUCUGAUCUGCUAUGAUUCAUAUGGCAUAUAGAAGGUAUGUUCUGUUCCACGAUCGAAAGCAAACUUCUUAUUGUUCUUGAGUUGCCAAUUCUUUGUUUCAAGACACAUUUAAAAGUGGUGUUUAUGGCGGGACAAAAAAGGUACACAUUCAGAAGCAUGCAACUGCAUACGCCAAGGCAGA
rnacentral:misc_RNA from 1 species